rnacentral:rRNA from 1 species
GCGCUGCAUUAGCUAGUUGGUAAGGUAACGGCUUACCAAGGCAACGAUGCAUAGCCGACCUGAGAGGGUGAUCGGCCACACUGGAACUGAGACACGGUCCAGACUCCUACGGGAGGCAGCAGUAGGGAAUCUUCCGCAAUGGGCGAAAGCCUGACGGAGCAACGCCGCGUGAGUGAUGAAGGUCUUCGGAUCGUAAAACUCUGUUAUUAGGGAAGAACAUAUGUGUAAGUAACUGUGCACAUCUUGACGGUACCUAAUCAGAAAGCCACGGCUAACUACGUGCCAGCAGCCGCGGUAAUACGUAGGUGGCAAGCGUUAUCCGGAAUUAUUGGGCGUAAAGCGCGCGUAGGCGGUUUUUUAAGUCUGAUGUGAAAGCCCACGGCUCAACCGUGGAGGGUCAUUGGAAACUGGAAAACUUGAGUGCAGAAGAGGAAAGUGGAAUUCCAUGUGUAGCGGUGAAAUGCGCAGAGAUAUGGAGGAACACCAGUGGCGAAGGCGACUUUCUGGUCUGUAACUGACGCUGAUGUGCGAAAGCGUGGGGAUCAAACAGGAUUAGAUACCCUGGUAGUCCACGCCGUAAACGAUGAGUGCUAAGUGUUAGGGGGUUUCCGCCCCUUAGUGCUGCAGCUAACGCAUUAAGCACUCCGCCUGGGGAGUACG